GACAGAGGGUGCAAACGUUGUUCGGAAUUACUGGGCGUAAAGCGUGUGUAGGCGGCUACAUAAGUCGGAUGUGAAAGCCCCGGGCUCAACCUGGGAAUUGCAUUCGAGACUGCGUAGCUAGGGUGCGGAAGAGGGAAGCGGAAUUUCCGGUGUAGCGGUGAAAUGCGUAGAUAUCGGAAGGAACACCAGUGGCGAAAGCGGCUUCCUGGUCCAGCACCGACGUUCAGGCACGAAAGCGUGGGGAGCAAACAGG
rnacentral:rRNA from 1 species